rnacentral:rRNA from 1 species
GGAGGGGCUGCGUACUGCUACACUGCAAGUCGAACGAUGACUUUUGUGCUUGCCAAAAUGAUUAGUGGCGAACGGGUGAGUAACACGUGAGUAACCUGCCCUUAACUUCGGGAUAAGCCUGGGAAACCGGGUCUAAUACCGGAUACGACGGAGCCCCGCAUGGGGGUCCGUGGAAAGCUUGAUGCGGUUUUGGAUGGACUCGCGGCCUAUCAGCUUGUUGGUUGGGGUAACGGCCCACCAAGGCGACGACGGGUAGCCGGCCUGAGAGGGUGACCGGCCACACUGGGACUGAGACACGGCCCAGACUCCUACGGGAGGCAGCAGUGGGGAAUAUUGCACAAUGGGCGAAAGCCUGAUGCAGCGACGCCGCGUGAGGGACGAAGGCCUUCGGGUUGUAAACCUCUUUCAGCAGGGAAGAAGCGAAAGUGACGGUACCUGCAGAAGAAGCGCCGGCUAACUACGUGCCAGCAGCCGCGGUAAUACGUAGGGCGCAAGCGUUAUCCGGAAUUAUUGGGCGUAAAGAGCUCGUAGGCGGUUUGUCGCGUCUGCUGUGAAAGCCCGGGGCUCAACCCCGGGUCUGCAGUGGGUACGGGCAGACUAGAGUGCAGUAGGGGAGACUGGAAUUCCUGGUGUAGCGGUGAAAUGCGCAGAUAUCAGGAGGAACACCGAUGGCGAAGGCAGGUCUCUGGGCUGUAACUGACGCUGAGGAGCGAAAGCAUGGGGAGCGAACAGGAUUAGAUACCCUGGUAGUCCAUGCCGUAAACGUUGGGCACUAGGUGUGGGGGACAUUCCACGUUUUCCGCGCCGUAGCUAACGCAUUAAGUGCCCCGCCUGGGGAGUACGGCCGCAAGGCUAAAACUCAAAGGAAUUGACGGGGGCCCGCACAAGCGGCGGAGCAUGCGGAUUAAUUCGAUGCAACGCGAAGAACCUUACCAAGGCUUGACAUGAACCGGAAAGGCCUGGAAACAGGUCCCCCACUUGUGGCCGGUUUACAGGUGGUGCAUGGUUGUCGUCAGCUCGUGUCGUGAGAUGUUGGGUUAAGUCCCGCAACGAGCGCAACCCUCGUUCUAUGUUGCCAGCGCGUUAUGGCGGGGAAUCAUAGGAAACGGCCGGGGUCACUCGGAAGAAGGUGGGGACGAGUCAAAUCAUCAUGCCCCUUUUGCCUUGGGCUUCCCCCU